GGCUUUUUAUUUAUGCUUAAUGGGUGGGAAGACUUAACCAAGCAUUUCCUAGUGCAUCUGGCUAUUAAAGGGUUUCGGACAGGCAGGUCAUCGCGGGAUUCGCGCAGACCGGUAUCCUUUGAAAUUCUACGAGGAUUACUUGGCGUGCUGCCAGAGGUUUGUUUUUCGGAAUAUGAGGUUGUGCUGUUUUCCGUGGUGUUUAGCUGGG